AUCUCUGGGCAGUGGCAAUUUUGUAGUCAAUGAGGUUUAACAGAGGCUCAAUUAUUGCUCAUUAAAAACAUGCUUUGGAGGGCCCUGACAUCCUCUUUAGCAUGUGCUGUCCAAAAUUGAACAGAUUCAUCAAGC